rnacentral:rRNA from 1 species
CCUACGGGAGGCAGCAGUGGGGAAUUUUGGACAAUGGGCGCAAGCCUGAUCCAGCCAUGCCGCGUGUGGGAAGAAGGCCUUCGGGUUGUAAACCACUUUUGUCAGGGAAGAAACGGUCUGGUCUAAUAAACCGGACUAAUGACGGUACCUGAAGAAUAAGCACCGGCUAACUACGUGCCAGCAGCCGCGGUAAUACGUAGGGUGCAAGCGUUAAUCGGAAUUACUGGGCGUAAAGCGUGCGCAGGCGGCUUUGCAAGACAGAUGUGAAAUCCCCGGGCUCAACCUGGGAACUGCAUUUGUGACUGCAAGGCUAGAGUACGGCAGAGGGGGAUGGAAUUCCGCGUGUAGCAGUGAAAUGCGUAGAUAUGCGGAGGAACACCGAUGGCGAAGGCAAUCCCCUGGGCCUGUACUGACGCUCAUGCACGAAAGCGUGGGGAGCAAACAGGAUUAGAUACCCUGGUAGUCCACGCCCUAAACGAUGUCAACUGGUUGUUGGGAGGGUUUCUUCUCAGUAACGAAGCUAACGCGUGAAGUUGACCGCCUGGGGAGUACGGCCGCAAGGUUGAAACUUAANAGAAUUGACGG